AGGGUUUGAUCAUGGCUCAGAUUGAACGCUGGCGGUAUGCUUAACACAUGCAAGUCGAACGCGAACGGUACUUCGGUACUUAUUAGAGUGGCGGACGGGUGAGUAACGCGUGGGAAUCUACCUAGUAGUUGGGGACAACCUGGUGAAAACCAGGCUAAUACCGAAUACGCCCUACGGGGGAAAGAUAGCCUCUUCUUGAAAGCUUUCGCUAUUAGAUGAGCCCGCGUUGGAUUAGCUAGUUGGUGGGGUAAAGGCCCACCAAGGCGACGAUCCAUAGCUGGUCUGAGAGGAUGAUCAGCCACACUGGGACUGAGACACGGCCCAGACUCCUACGGGAGGCAGCAGUGGGGAAUAUUGGACAAUGGGCGCAAGCCUGAUCCAGCAAUACCGCGUGUAUGAAGAAGGCCCGAGGGUUGUAAAGUACUUUCAAUUGUGAAGAGGGGGUAGUUAGUUAAUAGCAUUCUACCCUGACGUUAACUUUAGAAGAAGCACCGGCUAAUUCAGUGCCAGCAGCUGCGGUAAUACUGAAGGUGCAAGCGUUAAUCGGAAUUACUGGGCGUAAAGCGCGCGUAGGCGGUUAUUUAAGUCAGAUGUGAAAGCCCCGGGCUCAACCUGGGAACUGCAUUUGAAACUGGGUAACUAGAGUAUGUUAGAGGAAAGUGGAAUUCAGGGUGUAGCGGUGAAAUGCGUAGAUAUCCUGAGGAACACCAAUGGCGAAGGCAACUUUCUGGGACAAUACUGACGCUGAGGUGCGAAAGCGUGGGGAGCAAACGGGAUUAGAUACCCCGGUAGUCCACGCCGUAAACGAUGAGAACUAGUUGUCGGGAGGGAUUUACCUUUCGUGACGCAGCUAACGCAUUAAGUUCUCCGCCUGGGGGAGUACGCCGGCAACGGUAAA
rnacentral:rRNA from 1 species